rnacentral:rRNA from 1 species
AACCCUGAUCCAGCCAUGCCGCGUGUGUGAAGAAGGCUUUCGGGUUGUAAAGCACUUUCAGUGAGGAGGAAAACCUUAAGUUUAAUACGCUUGAGGCUUGACGUUACUCACAGAAGAAGCACCGGCUAACUCCGUGCCAGCAGCCGCGGUAAUACGGAGGGUGCAAGCGUUAAUCGGAAUUACUGGGCGUAAAGCGCGCGUAGGUGGUUUGAUAAGCGAGAUGUGAAAGCCCCGGGCUCAACCUGGGAACGGCAUUUCGAACUGUCACGCUAGAGUAUGGUAGAGGAGUGUGGAAUUUCCUGUGUAGCGGUGAAAUGCGUAGAUAUAGGAAGGAACACCAGUGGCGAAGCGGCACUCUGGACCCAUACUGACACUGAGUGCGAAGCGUGGGGAGCAACAGAAUAGAUACCUUGUUAGUUCACGCUGA